AUGCACGCUGGCGGCGUGCCUAAUCCCUGCCAGUCGAGCGCACAGACGAGGAGCUUGCUCCUCUGACGUUAGCGGCGGACGGGUGAGUAACACGUGGAUAACCUACCUAUAAGACUGGGAUAACUUCGGGAAACCGGAGCUAAUACCGGAUAAUAUAUUGAACCGCAUGGUUCAAUAGUGAAAGACGGUUUUGCUGUCACUUAUAGAUGGAUCCGCGCCGCAUUAGCUAGUUGGUAAGGUAACGGCUUACCAAGGCAACGAUGCGUAGCCGACCUGAGAGGGUGAUCGGCCACACUGGAACUGAGACACGGUCCAGACUCCUACGGGAGGCAGCAGUAGGGAAUCUUCCGCAAUGGGCGAAAGCCUGACGGAGCAACGCCGCGUGAGUGAUGAAGGUCUUCGGAUCGUAAAACUCUGUUAUUAGGGAAGAACAAAUGUGUAAGUAACUAUGCACGUCUUGACGGUACCUAAUCAGAAAGCCACGGCUAACUACGUG
rnacentral:rRNA from 1 species